rnacentral:rRNA from 1 species
CCUACGGGGGGCAGCAGUGGGGGAUAUUGCACAAUGGGGGAAACCCUGAUGCAGCGACGCCGCGUGUAGGAAGACGGUCCUCUGGAUUGUAAACUACUGUCCCCAGGGACGAAGAUGACGGUACCUGGGGAGGAAGCUCCGGCUAACUACGUGCCAGCAGCCGCGGUAAUACGUAGGGAGCGAGCGUUGUCCGGAAUUACUGGGUGAAAAGGGAGCGUAGGCGGGGAUGCAAGUUGGGUGUUAAAUCUACCGGCUCAACUGGUAGUCGCACUCAAAACUGCAGCUCUUGAGUGAAGUAGAGGCAGGCGGAAUUCCUAGUGUAGCGGUGAAAUGCGUAGAUAUUAGGAGGAACACCAGUGGCGAAGGCGGCCGCUGGGCUUUUACUGACGCUGAGGCUCGAAAGUGUGGGGAGCAAACAGGAUUAGAUACCCCUGUAGUC